UGGGCGCGUCCUCGAAGGGCGCCGGAGCCCGGCAGACGGCGUGGAGUACGAGCCCGGCCGGCGUCCUCCGGACCAGCCUGGGCCCAGCCUACCUCGGCGGGUGCCUUUUUCGCCUCCGCGAAAGCGCCGCGUCCGACCGGAAGUAGCUGCUCCGACCCAGCACGCAGGGUAGGAAGAAGGAGAAUCCGUCUCUUCACUCACAGCUUCCGAGCCUCCCAGCAGAGCCUUCGGGAGCUCAAAGAAGAGAGCGACGUCUUCCGGGCCGGGAAGGCCCCGCCGCUCGCUACUGCCUACCUCUCGCCGCGUCCCCUCCUUCUCCUGGCGGCGGAACCCACGGAGGGGACGGCCAGAACCUCCCGGAGGCAGGCCGGAGGGCUGCUCGCCCCGCCCGGCCCCGGAGGCAGCGGCCGUCUCGUGACGUCACGCCGGAGUUCCCGCGGCGCCACGCCCCUUUCCCCCGGGCCGCCGGGCCGCGGCCGAGCGAGUUGGCGGGUGGGAAGUGCUUUGGUGUGGAGCUUCCCGAGGGCCCGAGGAGCCUGGCGGACUCCGGCAGCCUUCGUGGAGUUCCCGGGAAAUAGUCCACCUGUUGGGAACUUGACCGCGAGCCCUUCCUUGGGUUGGGAGAAAGUCCGGACUGUCCUUGACUGCCGCGCUAUUCGUGGCAGGCCUGGGAUGUACCACACCUAGAGAUGAGAGGAAGGAUGUGGUGGGAUGGAUAGGCUCAUCCUUGGUUUCGGCGUUAUAGCCAUUGCCUGCAGUUCGGUAAUGGGCACCUGGGCCCGCGUUGGGUGGGAACACCACAACUCAGAAGGAGGCUGCUAAAGUUAGAUGAUGAGUUUCUGGCAAGUGCGGAGUAAAACAUGUGAAAAGUGUAUAGAAUUAUUUGUUAACAGGCCGUUGAGUACCCCAGGUGGGCUUCAAAUUCACUGUGCAUGGUCUUGAAUUGAUUCUCCUGUUUCCAUCUUCUGAAUUCUGGUAUUAUACCAUAAUAAUCAUAGACGUGUGGCAGCCACCACACCAGGUCAGUUUAUUGUAUUUUUUGGCAGUGCUGGGCAUCUAACCCAGGGCUUUGUGCAUGCUACGUAAACACUCCAUCAACUAAGCCACAUUCCUAGCCCUGCUGUACUUUUUUUUUUUUAAUCAGAAUUUUCUGCGGCUUAUUUUAAGGUUGUAAGUCAGUACAAUUUGAAUGUAAACAACAGGUUCUAUAAAGGAAGCAAAUAGAAUCACAGUCUCAUGUUAAACCAGUCCACUAAUUUUCUGUGAUACUUCUGUGCCUUAGAAGAUCUGGGGACAGAUUUUAAAAGUCGAGUAGUGCUGGACAUGGUGACUCAAGCCUAUAGUCCCAGCUCUGAGAAGGCAAAAAGAGCGGUAAGACUGGCCAAUUUGAGGCCAGCCUAGAAGGCAGUUUUCUACUCCUCUCAGGUCUUAAGGGAUAAAUACUUUACUUACUCUUUGGGAUUACACAUUCCAGGGAAUUCAUCUUCCACAGCCAUACAAAAGUUGGAGGCUUUAAGAGGCUGCCUAGUAUUUAAUACUGUUACAAUAUUUUCCCAGUUUUUUUUUUUUUUAAGGAUUUUAGUAUUAUUUUCUGUGUAUGGGUGUUUGCCUACAUAUGUAUGUGUACCACAUGCAUGCCUGGUACCUACAGAGGCCAGAAGAGGGCAUUGGGUCCUCUAGAACUGGACCAAUAGAUGGUUGUGAGCCAUAUGUAGACAUUGGGAACGGAACCUGGUCCUCUGCAAGAGUGGCCAGUGUUCUUAAUUUAAUUACUGAAUCAUCUUCCAGCCCCUUCUCCAUUUUAUAAGACUUAAUGAAAAUUGGGUUAUAUUUUUCCUCUAGCAAACUCUCUAUCACAAAGUUACGUACUAAAAUUUGCAUAAUAGGACUUACAUAGUUUCUAGUAGAAAUAGCAAGUUUGGGUAUAGAUGGGUAGAGCCUAUGAUCAGUUUGUCAUUGAAUCGAAUAUUUAAGAAUAGUUUUCUAAGCCUGGUGGUAGUGGCACACGCCUUUAAUCCCAGCACUUGGGAGGCAGAAGCAGGCAGAUUUCUGAGUUCGAGGCCAGCCAGGUUUACAGAGUGAGUUCUAGGACAGCCAGGGCUACACAGAGAAACCCUGACUCCAAAACAAAACAAAAAGAAUAGUUUUCCAAAGAAAAGAUCCUGGAGAGAUGAUGGCUCAGUCGUUAAGAGAACACUUAAUGCUCUUAGGGAGGACCCAGGUUCUGUUCUUAGCACCCCCAUUAGGCAAUUCACAACAAGCUGCAGUAUUUGUUUCAAGAUUCAGAAUUAUGAGUGCAUCUGCAUGUACAUAAAUUCACACGGGACACAUACAUAUAAAUACAAAAUAAAUCUUUUCAAAAAGA
rnacentral:lncRNA from 1 species